GAUGAACGCUGGCGGCGUGCUUAACACAUGCAAGUCGAACGGAAAGGCCCUGCUUUUGUGGGGUUCUCGAGUGGCGAACGGGUGAGUAACACGUGAGUAUCCUGCCCUUUACUUUCGGAUAUCUUCAGGAAACUGGGGCUAAUACCGGAUAUGAGCUCCUGCUGCAGGUGGUGGGUUGGAAAGUUUCGGCGUUUGGGGAUGGACUCGCGGCUUAUGAGCUUGUUGGUGGGGUAGUGGCUUACCAAGGCUUUGACGGGUAGCCGGCAUGAGAGGGUUGCCGGCCACAUUGGGACUGAGAUACGGCCCAGACUGCUACGGGAGGCAGCAGUGGGGAAUAUUGCACAAUGGGCGGAAGCCUGAUGAAGCAACGCCGCGUGCGGGAUGACGGCCUUCGGGUUGUAAACCGCUUUCGCCUGUGACGAAGCGUGAGUGACGGUAAUGGGUAAAGAAGCACCGGCUAACUACGUG
rnacentral:rRNA from 1 species